UGUCUCGUACGGCUCUUCCUAAGAACUUGAAGCCCCCUCUCUCUAAAUAGAAAAAAAUGCAUUUACAAGACAAAAAAGACUUUUUCAAAAAGCCUUCGCCCUCCUAUUCAACGGGGCUAUUAGAGAAGCAGCUUCGUUCCUAAAAGAAGAAGGUGGACCCCCUCUCCGUCGAAAGAAAUGAGAUUAUCGCAGAUACACACAUUAAAAAUAUUAACCAAAUUUGCCCGACGUAGAGGCAAUCAAGCUGAGGAACGAAGCUUCGUGUUUGUUUUUCUUCAAACCCCCAAUCCGCUCUCGCUCGCCGCUACUAACGGGGUCUCGGUUGAUUUCCCUUCCUUUAGCUACUAAGAUGUUUCAGUUCGCUAAGUUUUCUACAUUGAAGAAAGAAUCGAAUAUUCAUUGAUCNNNNNNNNNNNNNNNNNNNNNNNNNGAUUCUGAUGGCUUGGCUUCCAUUUGAACUGAUUUCAAUAAUCCUUUUAGUUGCUUUAAUAGGUGCAAUUGCUGUAGCUCGUCAAUAAAAAAUUUCUAUUAAAACUUGGAAUAACAACAAUUCAUCAAAGAAAAAAGAGAAGGAAAGCAAAAGAGACAGAGUCCAAACGCUUGAAGCUCAAUCUCUCCCCCGGAUGAACCAUAUAGCCAAGGACUCCUUACAAGCGUUGUUUCUAUCUACUAUUAUCUAAAAAUAAUAAAGUUAUUAAUGACUGGACGAAACUGGCGGAGCGGCAUACCGGAAGAAAUUGGAAGAUCGACGACGGAAAGCUGCACAGGAAAGGCCCAAAGCCAAUCCCAGGGAACAGUGAAGCUUCAUAGGGUCUUUCUGUCCAGGUGCAGGUAGUCCGCAGGGCUAGUGACUGGAUCACCUAAAGGAGGUGAUCCAGCCGCACCUUCCAGUACGGCUACCUUGUUACGACUUCACUCCAGUGCAGUUCCUUCUUGAGCCUUUUCUUUUUGACUCCUACCGAAGCAAGCCUCUCAAGUGCUGACCUUUCUUCCCACCUUUGAGCGAAGCAAGCCUCUCAAGUGCUGACUAGUACGCUGUCGGAGUGAGACCGGGGUGGCAGAGGUCCAGGAUUCGAGUCUUGCCGCCACUUAUUAACAGUGGAGGUAGGAGAUCCAGUUAACGAAAAGGCUAGGCUGCAGCUAUUCAAGCAUCUCAAAGUCUUGAAUUCCCCCUGAAAGCGAGAACGCACUAUAUGCCUUUAAAAUAAAAAGAAGGCUGGAAAAAAGAGAGAGCUCCUUUCUUUUCUAGCUUUGGCGGGAGGAAUGAAAAUCCUAUCCUAUACGAAGGCCUAUAUACAAACACGAGGGUUGCGCUCGUUGCGGGACUUAACCCAACACCUUACGGCACGAGCUGACGACAGCCAUUGGGGUUCGCGUUGGUGGAGGAACUGGAUCGGAAGACGAUUCUAUCCAAUCACAACCUCGCCAAGUCUCUAAUCAGGGGCUCCAUCAUGUUAGCCAAUACGAAGAGUGGCUGUUCUGUUAAUAGAGUAUAUCACAGCUAAUGCACUUCACAUCCGAUUCUUUCUGUUUUUUUUUUCAAACAAAAAGUUAAAAUACGAAAAAAAAAUCAGAAUGAAAAGCGUCCAUUGUCUAAUGGAUAGGACAGAGGUCUUCUAAACCUUUGGUAUAGGUUCAAAUCCUAUUGGACCAUUUUUGGAUCACUUUUUUCGGGGUUAAUAUGACCUUCUUUCCUAUGUCUUGCAUUGUUGGUUCAUGCAUGAACUGUAGAUUUCACCGUUAUUUCUUCAUUUAUCUGGUGAGUCGAUUGUUUUCCCAUUUUGAUUAAUCCAUUAAUUUAAGUGUGUUCAUUUGAGAGUCCUUCUUGUUCUAAUCUUCUAAUUAGGUUUUGGUUCGAUUUUUAAUCUGGUUUAAUUCUAGUUUAUUUAGUUUAGCCUAAUAAAUUGUUUAUUCAGUCAUGUUUUGAUUUUGAAAUCAUGUAAUGUUGGAUUUGCUUCCUUUUCUUCUUUUCGUGAACCACUAAAGUUGAUUUUGAUUUGGGUCAUUUCGUUUGAAUGGGCUUGGGGGUCAUCUCUGGCCCGGUUUCAAGUGAAGCCCGGUCACUUUGGGUUGGUUUUGGGUACUGGUUAAUUGGACCCAUGAGCCGUUGUUGCCUGAAUGUAAAUAACAGCGUUUUAAAGGGUACUUAGGGCAUUUUUAUUAGAGGAAUCUUUCACAACUACCUGGGAAACUUCCAUGAAGUUGGGGAAAGGGGCUGGUUUGGCAAACAGGUUUAAAACUUGGGGUUUGAAAUAAAAGAGAUAAAUCAAAGAAGGGGUAAUUGGUAAAACCUGAAACCCAUUCUGCUGCCCUAGAGGUCUUCUAUAAGAGGCCUGUUUUCUUUCUUUUCAAGGAGGAAUGGAGAGAAUACAAGAUAAAACCUUAGAAACGGCUGAAAACGUGUUAUGAAAAUAUAGAAGUUUAUGCACCAUUCUGAGGUCAAAUUGUUGGAAUUGGGUUUUCAAUCUGACUUUUAGCAGUAACCAAAGAGUUUGCACAACUUUUUUCUGAUUCUACUACUGCUGCUAAUUCCUCAUUCUCCUUAUUUUUCUUUAACUUCCAGGUAUCUUUUGGACUAUGGAUAACACAUGAAGUGUAACAUUGAAUUUGAAUGUGGAAAUAUGAUGAACACAACCUGUUUCUUGUUGAAUUUUACUUUCUAUAUUCUUCACUUUCAUUCACAUCCUGUACUAUUUUAAUUUUAGAUGCAUUGUUGUUAGUCUUUUCAUGUUAUAGAUAUGGUGCCAUAUUGUUAAGUUAAAAUUUUAGUUCCUCGGUGUCUCUUAUUAGUUGUUAGUUUGGUUUAAACUUGUCAUGGAUAGGGAAAAUGUUCUAGGCUAUUACACUAAGGGUCGAUCAAUAUGCUGAAUUUCUCUUGGUUUGCGUUUAAGCAUGUUUAAAGUUGGUUUGAUGUUUAAAUUCAGGUUUGUUUACAUGACAAUCUCAUGAGGUUUAUUUGCUAUUGUAUGUGUCAAAGAAGGGUUUAAUUGAGGUUUAAAUCUCACACAAUUGUAUAUAAGUUAGCUGGGGAUUGAAUUAAAUGUGAUUGUUGUACAACUAUGUAUUGAUGGAAGCCAAUCAGGCUCAUGUUGAUAUCCUUGGGUUUCAAAGGCUGUUUAUAUGCUGUAUCGACUCGAUCUCGAGUCCUACAUUCCCCAGCCUCUAUUUUUCGAAGAGAUUUGGUUUGUUCUCUGGGCUUAAACUUGGGGCCACUUGUAAAUGGGGAUUUAUAUGCUCUAUGGUGCUUGGGCUUGAUUUUCGAGCCCAACAUCUCAUUUAACUGCUACUGUCGGGUUUUGCCUACAACAAGCCUGGCCCAAACUCAUGAAAGCCUAGCGUAACUUCAGUAGUUAUGUAAAAAUGGCUUUAAAUCUUAAGUUAAAGUAUUUCUUUUGGUUAAAUUGAGGUGUGCCAUUUUCACCAUAUCACCCAUGGCCCUCAUAUAAUUUUUUAAUUUAGUGUUAAAUAAGCUUGAAUAAUGGUAAAUUGCUUUAAGCGCGUAAUGAUUAGGUCUAGAUUGCCUCCAAAAAACGCCUAUUUCCUUUUAGACUUGAGGCGUGCCAUAAGCAAAAUUAGAUAACCCAUGACCCUCAGACAACUAAUACUAACUCUUCUUAAAAUCGGGGUGUGCCAUCAGUUAAACUUUCCAUGGCCCGCGUAAACUUAGUUAUUAAUUUGAACUUUCGUAGUUUGCUUUAGGCGCGUUUUAUAAAUUGGUUUUCUUUUAUUUAUUAAUUUUGGGUGCACAUUUCAUGUUACCCGAAUUCAAUUCUUAACAAUGUUAAAUAGUACGUGUUGCGAACCGCGGGUACAUUUCAUGUGGCGUGGUUGAAGGCGUGUUUUAAAAAAAGUUGAAUCUUCUAAAAAUAAUUAAAAACGGUUAAAGAGUUAAAAAUGCACAAUAGGUUUAAAACGUGUAAAAAAUAGAUAAUUAGGCCAAUAAUAAUAGUUGAGCGACCGUGCUAGAACCAUGGAACCCGGGAAAGCCUAACACCUUCUCCCGGGUUAACAGAAUUCCUUACUCGAAUUUCUGUGCUCGCGGACUGUGAAACAGGGUCAAUCUUUUCUCGAUUCGGGAUUUGAACCGGUCACUUGGGACACCAUAAAUUAUCCCAAGUGACGACUCUGAAUUUUUUAAAUAAAUAAUCCCAUUUCGAUUUUCACUUAAAUUGGAAAAACCUCUCUUAUACCCUUCUGGGGGUAGUAAAAUGGAGGUGUGACAGUUCUGGCGACUCUGUUGGAGAUCAAACCCAGAAUCUCUCGUUCAUGGUUCAGAAUUCGAGCUUGGAAUAACUGUUAUAGUUGGCUUUUAUUUAUUAUCUGAUUUUUACGUGUUGGAACCUAAUGUGCUAAAUGCUGCUUUUUACCGCUUUGAUAUUGCUUGAAUUGUAUAUAAAACUGUUACGGAAACCUCUUCUCUCUGAGUUUUAUAAAUCAUAUGGGAACGUGUGCACUUCAUGUGACUUCUUUUCUGUUAGAGUCAUAUCCCGAUUUUAGAAUGAGGUUCGGACAAGUUGCAAAGCCGAUGAAGCUUCUGUAUUCCCGGUAUGCNNNNNNNNNNNNNNNNNNNNNNNNNNNNNNNNNNNNNNNNNNNNNNNNNNNNNNNNNNNNNNNNNNNNNNNNNNNNNNNNNNNNNNNNNNNNNNNNNNNNNNNNNNNNNNNNNNNNNNNNNNNNNNNNNNNNNNNNNNNNNNNNNNNNNNNNNNNNNNNNNNNNNNNNNNNNNNNNNNNNNNNNNNNNNNNNNNNNNNNNNNNNNNNNNNNNNNNUAUAACAUAACCUCAUGCCGGAUCCCUAGUAGGAACGUUUGUUUGCAUCACGUGCAUCUGACUUUGGGGACUCAACAUAGGGGUUGGGUCCGUCUAGGACAGGUGUAACCAAAUUAAAAAGACCAUCAUGAUGCAUCUUUUGUGCUACUUGCGCAUCUGUUUGUUUCGACUUUCAAUAGAGAAAAAAAAUCUAAAAAGAAAAAAAUAAAUAGAAAAAAAAUCAAAAAAGUGAGAGGUAGUUAUUUAGAAAAUUCUGAAACGCUGCCGAAAUUCUGAAAAAAGAAAGGUCAUUUAAAAUGAUCCAAAAUUUUCAAGUGCCAUGUUUUCCUUGUUCCGUCAAAAUUGGCUGAACUACGCAAGUUUGAUUCUCACUGGAUAUGGGAUACGUAGGCUACCCUCAUCGGGUCCAAUUCCUUCUGCAAAAAUAACCCAAAAAUAUGAAGUGUCAGUGUUCUGUCAUAAGUAAAUUAGGUGGAGCCAUUCUUGUCCAAAAUAGCCAAAAAUGCCCAAAAGGCGACGGAAGGCUGUUUUUGCAAUAAUAGCCACCUAGGGUCCUUUUUCAAAAAUAUUGGUUGAUUAACAAAAACAACCCAAAUAUUUUUUUUCUCUUGAGGUGCUGAAGGGUUGUAUUCGCAAGAAUGUUUUGUUCUAAAUUUUGUGAAAAUGGGUAAUUUCUCUUGAGUCAAAGUAAACCACAGUCUUUUAAUCAAUCACCUUAAAUAAAUGUGCAGGAUGAGCAUAAUUGAAAAUGAACCUUUCACAGUCCACGAGGAAAUCCCGUUAGAACUACAUAUGUGGUGCAAUGAUUUGGGAGAAGUCAGCAGAAAAAUUGUGAUAAGCUUUGGGUGGUCUUGUUGGGCUUUUGAAGAUUAAGCCGAGAAAGGAUAUAAUUGAGGCUUUGAUACCCUUGAGGGACCCAGCACAUAAUGUGUUCCAUUUCGCUGAUUUUGAGCUAACUCCUACACUGGAGGAAAUAGCGGGCUACGCUGGUUUUAGUGGGAGUCUCAGAAAUCAAUACCCGGUGGAACCUAGAACAGUGACUCCUCAUAAGUUUCUGGAUCUUCUAAGCAUCAGUCGGGAAGUGCAAGACGAAAACUUGGCUAAGGGAUUUUGCACAUUCUAUUUAUUGUACCGACGUUACGGGAAUCCCCACGGUUUUGAGAUGCUAGAUACCGGUCUUAUUCACUCGGGAAAUAAAGAUAAGUGGGAAACUCGGCGGGGACUGGCUUUUAUAGUGGCAUUCCUGGGUGUUUUGAUUUGUCUAAGAAAAGAUGGAAACAUAGAAUUGGGGCUCGUGGGGAUAGCCGACUUCAUGACUAAAAAGGCAAAUGGCACCAUUAUACCGAUGAUCUUGGCGGAGAUCUAUUGAGCUAUGACUAUUUGCCAGGAAGGAGGAAAGUUUUUUGAAGGAUGCAAUAUGUUUCUACAACUCUGGAUGGUGGAGCACCUUUGCCACCGUCCGGGGUACAUAAACUGCGUUAUGACCGGUCUUCAAUGCAUUGAAAAACAUGAACGACGAGGUGGAGGGCUAUGAAUUUUCGGACGGUACAGAAGCAUGGUUUGGACACUUGAGCUCCCUGACUACACACAAGAUUGAAUGGACAUUCGGGUGGCUCUCGGUUAGUGAAGUCAUUUAUAUGUCGGCUGAGGUGUGUUUUAUUCUAUUGAUGGGUCUCCGGAGCAUUCAGCCUUAUGCCCCGCACAAAGUUCUACGCUAGUUAGGCAGGUACCAGACCAUACCACAUGAUGAGGAUUUGAGUCCGCAGGUCAUCGAAUUGGAACCAAAACCUGCCUUCCCAGAAGAAAGGGUGCAUCAAAUUUGGCAUCAAUGUAGGUUAUUAGAGUCAAAGACUCAGGUACGAGAUCUAUCCAAAGGCGAGUUGGAGCCUAGUUACACAACUUGGUACGGUAAAAGGUCCCAAGUCCAUCAAAAGACCGAACAACCCGCAAAUAGGCUCCAUGUCCAACAAUUCACUAAUGGAGCGUAGGAGCAAUGGGAUUGGUUGGCAAAAGAGGCAAGCUACAAAGCCACCAUAAUAAAAUUGGAGGGACAGAUCCAGGAUCUUAAAUUUGACAAAAGUGUAUAGGCCGCUGCCGAUGAAGGGGGAAAUAAGAAAUUGGCUCAACAAAACAAGGUCCUUAGAGCACAGAUCCAAAAAAUGAAAAUAGCUGCUGAGAAUCAGGAAAGUAGCUGAAAGUAUGAAAGACUCAUAAGUGGUCUCAAGAGGAAAAUAGCUGAGUGUGAGGAUGAUCUGGAAAAAUCCGAGGGUAAUCUGGCAAGAGCCCGGGCACAGUUAGCAAAGAAUGCAGAGCGGCAAGCAGUGUUUGUCUGGCAGCUGAAAAGGAAAUACGAGGGAACAAUAGCCAAUUUGAAGAAAAGGCUAACUACCCUCGAAAAUGAGAUGGCCAAUCAAGCUAAGAACAUUAAAGCAGAAAGGGAACAUUGUUAUCUAUUAUUGUCCUAGUUGGAGGAUGAUCUACAACAGUUACAAGGUCAAAACCAUCGUGAUGCCCACGUGCUAGAAGCUAGUACUCAACAAAUACGGCGUUUGCUCCAAGAAAAGGGUAUCAUCAGGGAGAGGGUUAGAGCCAUUGCUGACUACAUCGUCAUAAAGUGCCAUGAAUGUGAAGACAUGACUAGAACCACCUUCUUUGCUGCGGUAAUGACCUUUGUUUGCCAAAUAAUGAAUGAACUGGAGCGCCUUCAAGGGGAUCUUGCACAUAGGCCCGUGGCGUGACCGACUGAUGUCCCACAGGCCCACGGGGCAAUUGAGGCAUUGAUGUAUUCAUGAUUUUCAUUCAAGUCUGUAUUUUCAAUUUUCUUUGUUGGAGUUUGUUAGUCUGUUUUUGAAUCAGUAUUUUCAUCUUUCUGUUGGAGUCUGUUAGUCCCCCUUUUUCGAAUCUGUUAGCUUUAAUGAUUAAAUGUUGUAGUAUGAGUCAUUGUAAUCAAUAUGUUUAAUGAAAAUUAGAAAACCCCAAAAUAUUUGUUUCAUUUAUUUUUAUUUUACACUUAUUCCCAGGACUAUGCUUGGUCUGAUUCAUGCGGCGUUAUGAUACGUAGGCAAUCCCCAUAGGAUUCGAUCAUAACCGUGAAAUGAAAGAAAAAAAAGAGAGAAACAAAAGAAAGGAGAGAAAAACAAGAAAAAUCGGGAAAGAAAUAAUGGCAAAACAAGAGAGGAAGAUGAGAGAAUAAAGAAAAGCAAGAAUCAAGCAAAGAAAAGAAGGAAUAAAAAAAGAGAGAAAGAAGUUGCAAAAUGAAGAUUAGGGAAAGCCGAGAUGACGCAAGCAACCGAUCAAAUGCAUAAUAGAAAUGGUUAACUGCUUAGGUGCAUUGCAUCACCAACGUGCGGUUGCCUAUCUGUUUAGCCGUAAUCGCUAACGAGUUUGUUGUUGUCAUCCAGUUCAGGCAGGUGGUUAGUUUGUUUGGCAUUCUGACAACUCAUCCGUACAACACCAGGUUCAAAGACAGGUUGAUCAUGGCUAACCAAGAACUGGAUGCAAGUGUUAUUGAUCCAUCAAGAGAGAGGGAGGAGUCUGAUGUUAGCAUGAAAGAGUAGUUGUAUAAGUUAAAAUACCAGAUGGCAGAGAUGUACCAGGAAUGGGUAAAAGGGCAUCCACCACCAUCCUACCCCGCCAACCCUACUUUCGUCUUGCCCCUGGCUCAAUCCCAUGAACCUCCCACUAUUGAUUCAUCUCCGGGCUUUCUCAUUUACCACCACUAUCAAGGCACCACUUCCCAAACCCCACAAUCACCACUACCCAAACCAGUCCCAUACCCUUCUCCACCAGCCACCCCUAUUUUCGUGGCACCCCCACCUGCUGCACUCUAUCGAUCCUCCAGUGAGCCCUUAUUCUCGACCCAAGAUAACCAAUACUACCCCCCUGAGCCUACUUUCAAGGCCCCAGAGCCUUGCUCUUAUACUCCUCGUUUCGACCUCCCUGUCGAGAUUGAGAAACCACCAAAGAACCCAGAGCAUGAGGAGAUGUUCAGGAAGGUUAGAAGUCUAGAGUAGUCAUUCAGAAACAUGCAAGGAUUGGGAGGCCAGGUGACCGUAGCCUACAAGGAUUUGUGUUUAUUUGUCGAUGUUUAGUUGCCUGUGGGAUUUAAGAUGCCGAAGUUUGAUUUGUAUGAUGGGCAUGGAGACCCGGUGGCCCACUUGAGGCGAUUCUGCAAUAAAAUGAGCGGAUCUAGUAGGAAAGAUGAGUUAUUGAUGGCAUACUAUAGCCAGAGUCUGAGUGGUUCGGCAUUGGAGUGGUACACUCGUCAGGAUCACAACAGAUGGUAUACAUAGGAUGAUUUGGACCAAGCAUUCGCAUGUCAUUACCAAUACAACCUCGAGAUUGUUCUAGAUCGUUUGUCUCUGACUAAGAUUGAGAAAAAGCCUAGUGAAAGUUUCAGGGAAUACGACUUUUGUUGGAGAGAACAAGCGACAAGAGUUGACCCUCCGAUGAAGGAGAGCGAAAUGGUGGAUUAUUUUCUACAGGCUCUAGAGCCUACUUACUUUGGCCAUCUGGUAUCGGCCAUAGGCAAGUCCUUCAACGAGGUAGUGAAGAUGGGUGGCACGGUGGAAGAAAAGCUUAAAUAAAAAAAAUCAUGAGUUACUCGGCUAUUAAGGUAACUACCCAAGCCAUUCAGAACGGUUCUGGGGGAGUGAUCGGAAAGAAGAAGAAAGAUGAUGUGGCAACAAUUGAUUCAGGAUCAUGGUUUGGACCUAGGGGCCCGUCAUACCAUUACACUCAGCCUCGACCCCACCACCAAACCUACACCCAAACCCCAUAUAAUUCACUCCAACACUACUUCCCAUCACCAGACCCUCAUAUUUCUGUCCGCCACACCCAAACAUAUACUCAACCUCCUGCUUACGCAAAAUGGCGUGCCCCAGCCCCACAAAACACCUACCCAACUCCACCCCCACGAGCCUACCGAAACCCUGCUGUCCCUAGUUUCCGACCCAAUCCAGCAUUCAAAAAUGAGAGGUUGCAGCGAAAAAAAACCUUCACCCGAUUGGGAGAAUCUUAUACCAAUUUAUUCCAUAGAUUGAGGCAGUUGGAUACAGAGAAGUGGUGGCACCUAAAAAAUGCCAUCUAGGAGCUCAUUAACACAAACCGGAUUGAAGUCCAGACUCUAGAGGAACCCAACAUCAACCAGAACCCAUUGCCAACACAUUAGGAAACAAAUAUGAUCGAGAUAGUACAUAAGGGAGGGGAGCCCAAGAAGCCUUCAUAGACCGUCAUGAUGAUUCAGUCCAGUGAGGUCAAGCCAGUUAAAAAAUCAAUAGUUGAAGGAUCAGUGAACAAGUUGAGUAGGGUAAACUUUGAAUCAUCUGUGUAAGUCAAGGAAGGAUCCCCUAGUGAUGUUACGGUGAAGCAAGUAAAGUCAAAAGUGGUUGUGCCAGGAGUGGCAAACAAGCCUAUCAUAAUUGUAGACGGUGUAUGUACGAUCCCUGUCAUCAUCAAGCUUGUAACCCAGUUGCCGGUAAUUAGCACCAAGGCCAUCCCAUGGAACUAUGAACAGGUGAUAAUGACCUAUAAGGGAAAGGAAGUGAAAGAAGAAGUCAAUGAGGCCCAGGGAUUAACUCGUUCGGGGAGAUGCUUUACCCCAGAAGAGUUAAGGAAAGCUAAAACAUGCAGGGAUAACCUAGUUCUAGUGAAGAAAGCAAUGACUGAAGAAGAGGCGCAAGAGUUUCUAAGAAAAAUGAAAGUACAAGAUUAUUCCAUUGUGGAGCAGUUGAGAAAGACGCCUGCUCAGAUUUCAUUGUUGUCAUUGUUAAUCCACUCAGACGAGCAUCAUCGGGCCUUGAUAAAAAAUCUGAAUGAGGCUCAUGUUCCCGACAAAAUUUCAGUAAACCAUCUGGAAAAGAUUGCCAACAAAAUAUUUGAGCUGAACAGGGUCACCUUCUCUGAUGAUGAGUUGCCUGUGGAAGGUACUGAACACAAAAAAGCUCUAUAUCUUAUGGUAAAAUGUGAAGAUUCUAUGGUUACCAGGGUAUUAGUUGACAAUGGUUCCAGUGUAAACAUCUGCCCUCUCUCUACUUUGAACAAGUUGAAAGUGGAUGAUGAGAGGAUUCACAAGAACAACAUCUGCGUUCAGUGAUAUAGUGCUUGAAUUAACAAUAGGGCCAGUGGAAUUCACCAUGGAGUUCCAGGUGUUGGACGUAGCCGUCUCUUACAAUUUGCUGUUGGGUCGACCUUGGAUUCAUUCCACCAAAGUAGUCCCGUCCACUCUGCACCAUAUGGUCAAGUUCGAAUGGCAUAGACAGGAGAUCUCCGUGCAUGACGAGGAUAAUUUGUGUGCCCACAAUGAUGCCUCCGUCCCGUUUAUUGAGGCUGAAGAUGACAACGGGCCUUGGGUCUAUCAAGUUUUUGAAACAAUAUCGGUCGAGAAGGUUCCAGAAGGGGAAUGUGUUCCAACUCCAAAAAUAACCUCCGCAUCAGUCAUGGUGGCCUCUAAAAUGCUAAAAAAUGGCUUUGUGCCCGGUAAAGGUCUGGGUGCAUCUCUACAGGGUAUCAUACAACCAUUGUCCCUCGCUGAAAAUUUGGGUAUAUUCGGUCUUGGAUUCAAACCUACAGCGGCAGAUGUGAAAAGGGCUAAAAGGUUGAAACAGAAGGCGUGGGCAUUUCCAAAGCCUAUUACACGUUUCUCCAGGUCUUUUGUCAAGCCCAGUGCCAAGAAACGCCCAGUGACGACAGUUCCAAGUUCUGUGGUUGAUAUUGAUGAGGAGUUAAUUGAAAGGUUCCAGAGGUUGUUUGAUGAUAUGAACAUGGUAGAGGUUGGAGAAGGUUCUAGCAACGCGGACGUGCAGUUUGUUGGGCCGAAUACAAAGCUUAACAAUUGAAGGCUACUCCUCUCCCUACCUGGAAGGAGUCUUGGUAGUUUCUUUUGUUUUCCUUUCUAGCUGGGUCAUUCCAGGGUUGUGACCCAGACCUUUAUUUUUCGCUUGUUGAUUUACAAACCCUGUUAUCCUUUAUUUUCAAUGAAAUGCAAUUUCCCUUUUCCAUCAUUUCUGAUAGUUUUAUUUUGUUUUUAUUUUCUUCUCUGUAUAGUUCUUUUUAUGCUGGUUUCAGUAACAUGACAUGUAUGAGGAAACUUCGGCCCAGUUGUACAAGUCAAUCUAAUUCUGAAAUAAUAAUCCAAGAAAUAGAAUGUUAUGAUGAAUCUGAAUAUAAUGAGGAUGGGGCCUUUGAAGAGAUUAGUAAAGAACUAAGUUAUUUUGAAGAAAAACCCAAGCCUAAUCUGAACGAAACAGAAGCAAUCAAUAUAGGGGAUCCAGAUAAUGUCAGAGAAACUAAGAUAAGUAUCCAUCUUGAGUCGCAAAUCAAGGAAGAAAUAAUUAAAGCAUUGUUUUAUUAUAAGGAUAUUUUUGCGUGGUCGUAUGAUGACAUGCCAGGCUUGAGUACCGAUUUGGUGGUCCACAAAUUACCAAUUGAUCCAGCAUUUCCUCCCAUUAAGAAGAAGUUGAGAAAGUUCAAAACUGACAUGAGUGUGAAGAUUAAAUAAGAGGUCACAAAGCAGCUUGAUGCAAAGGUCAUUCGGGUCAUGCGGUAUCCCACGUGGCUAGCCAAUGUUGUGCCCAUGCCAAAGAAGGAUUGUAAGACCAGAGUGUGUGUUGAUUACCAUGAUCUCAACAAGGCAAGUCCAAAGGACAACUUCCCAUUGCCGAAUAUCCACAUUUUGAUCGAUAAUAGUGCCAAGCAUGAGAUUGGGUCUUUUGUAGAUUGCUAUGCGGGCUAUCAUUAGAUUCUAAUGGAUGAGAAAGAUGCGGAAAAGACGACAUUCAUCACGCCAUGGAUAACAUACUAAUACCGGGUCAUGCCUUUUGGUUUGAAAAACGCCGGGACAACUUAUAAGUCCAGGAAGCAGUCUGACAACGUCAGAGAUUUGAGUGAUUUCUUCCAAAGGCUCCGCGGGUACAUUCUCAAACUCAACACUGCAAAGUGUGCAUUUGGUGUCCCAUCCGGAAAACUGUUGUGAUUCAUAGUCUGCCGGCGGGGCAUUGAAUUGGAUCCGUCAAAGAUUAAAGCUAUUCAGGAAUUGCCCCCCCAAGGAGAAAGACCGAAGUGAUGAGUCUGUUAGGGAGGCUGAAAUACAUAAGCAGGUUUAUUGCUCAGCUCACGACAGCUUGUGAGCCUAUCUUUAAGCUGCUGAAGAAGGAUGCUGCGGUCAAGUGGACUGAUGAGUGUCAGGAAGCAUUUGAUAAGAUAAAGGGGUACUUGUCAAACCUACCUGUGUUGGUCCCAUCAGAACCAUGAAGACCUUUGAUUCUUUAUUUGACAGUCUUGGAUAAUUCAUUUGGAUGUGUAUUAGAUCAACAUGACAUCACUGGCAGGAUAGAGCAGGCCAUUUAUUAUCUCAGCAAGAAGUUCACAUCUUAUGAGGUUAAGUACACUCCCCUUGAGUGGACGUGUUGUGCCCUGACUUGGGUGGCACAGAAGUUGAAGCAUUACCUGUCGUCCUACACUACUUACCUCAUCUCUCGUCUUGAUCCUUUGAAGUAUAUUUUUCAGAAGCCCAUACCCACAUGAAGGCUCACAAAGUGGCAGAUCUUACUCACAAAGUUUGACAUCGUAUAUGUUACUUGGACAGCGAUGAAAGCCCAAGCUUUGACUGAUCAAUUGGCCGAAAACCUAGUAGAUGAAGAAUAUGAACCUUUGAGGACUUACUUCCCUGAUGAAGAGGUAAUGCAUAUCGACGAGGUCAAAAAGGAGGAAAAGCCUGGUUGUAAACUCUUCUUUGAUGGGGCUGCUAACAUGAAAGGUGUCGGGAUAGGGGUAAUGUUUAUUUCUGAAACAGGGCAUCACUACCCUGUCACAGCUCAUCUUCAUUUCUAUUGUAGCAACAACAUGGCUGAAUACAAAGCAUGCAUUCUGGGUUUGAGUCUAGCUGUAGAAAUGGGAAUCCAAGAAGUCUUGGUCUUGGGAGACUCUGACCUUCUGGUGCAUCAGAUUCAAGGAGAAUAGGAGACGCGGGAUUUAAAGCUUACAACGUAUCGACAAUGUCUGCAUGAUCUUUAUCUACGAUUUUGAUCAAUAGAAUUCAGGCACAUUCUAAGGAUCCAUAAUGAGGUUGUCGAUGCUUUGGCUACCUUGGCGUCGAUGUUACAUCACCCAGAUAAGGCUUAUGUUGACCCUUCGCAUAUUCAGGUCCGCGAUCAGCAUGCUUACUAUAACAUGGUGGAAGAAGAACUUGAAGGUGAACCUUGGUUCCAUGAUAUCAGGAAGUACAUCAGAAUGGGGGUAUAUCCGGUACAGGUCACAGGGGAUCAAAAGAGAAUAAUUCGUUGAUUGGCAAGUGGAUUUUUCUUCAGUGGGGGAGUUUUUUACAAAAGAACUCAAGAGUUUGGAUUGUUAAGAUGCAUAGAUGCUAGACAAGCCACGACAAUCAUGACCGAAGUACACUCUGGGAUUUGCGGGCCGCAUAUGAGUGGGUAUGUUCUGACAAAGAAGAUUCUUCGAGCGGGUUAUUACUGGCUUACCAUGGAGCGAGAUUGUAUCUGUUUUGUGCGCAAAUGCCAGGUACACGGAGAUUUGAUUCAUUCUCCACCAUCUGAAUUGCACACGAUGUCCGCACUGUGGCCCUUUGUUGCUUGGGGUAUGGAUGUCAUCGAACCAAUCGAUCCAGCAAUAUCCAAUGGACACAGGUUCAUUCUGGUGGCCAUUGAAUAUUUCACUAAGUGGGUUGAAGCUAAAACUUUCAAAUCUGUGACCAAGAAGGAAGUCGUCGAUUUUGUUCAUUCAAAUAUCAUUUGUCGGUUCGAAAUCCCAAAGGUGAUCAUCAUAGAUAAUGAUGCCAUAAUCUAAUGAAGGAUGUGUGUCAACAGUUUAAGAUUACACAUCACAAUUCCACCCCAUACCGCCCUAAGGCGAAUGGAGCAGUCGAGACAGCCAACAAGAACAUAAAGAAGAUACUUCGGAAAAUGGUGCAAGGUUCCAUGCAAUGGCAUGAGAAGUUGCCCUUUGCGUUGUUGGGUUAUCACACUAAUGUUCUGACUUCAGUAGGUGAAACUCCUUAUUUAUUGGUAUAUGGCACCAAAGCAGUGAUACCCACAGAAGUUGAAAUUUCAUCCCUUUGUAUUGUUGCUGAAGCCGAAAUUGAUGAUGAUGAGUGGGUCAAAACCCGUCUGGAGCAAUUAAGUUUGAUUGAUGAGAAAAGAUUGACAACAGUGUAUCAUGGCCAGUUGUAUCAAAAGAGAAUGGCGAGAGCAUACAACAAGAAGGUGCGUCUCCGGAAAUUUGAAGUGGGCCAGAAAGUAUUGAAAAACAUCCUUCCACAUCAGGUUGAAGCAAAAGGCAAGUUCGCCCCAAAUUGGCAAGGGACAGUAGUCGUAACGAGAGUGUUGUCCAAUGGUGCUUUGUAUUUAACAGACAUAGAAGGCAAAUGUGUAGACAUGGCUAUCAAUUUUGAUGCAGUCAAAAGAUAUUAUGUAUGAUUUCUUUGGAUUAAAUUGUGUUUGUUUGUACUUGGGAUGUUUUGAAGAUUGGAAUGACGAAGGCAUUUUGUUCUGAUAUCUAAACACUUUAUCCUUUGUUACCCCUUUGAGCUUUAUUUAUUUCCUCCAUACCCCUCUUUUGGAAUCAGUAGCAAAGUUCAGAAACACGAGCGCAAAAGGUGAGUAAAGAAGAAAAAGAGAAAAGAAAAGAGCAAAGAGAAACAGAAGAAUGGAAAAGAGUGAAAAAGAGAAGAAAAAAAAUAAAUAAAAGGGAAAAAAGAAGAAGAAGAAAAGAAAAGAAAAGAAAAGGAAAAAGAGAAAAAGAAAAGAAAAGAGAAAAAUCACAACAACAAAGUAAUUCUUAUGUCAUAAACUACGUUUGACCUGAUUCCUUUAAAGGAUACGUAGGCAGCCUCACGGUUUGGUCCCAUUAAAUAAAAAUUCAAAGUCCCCAAGCAAAGAAACUGGGGCAGAAAGUUGUGGUUAUUGUAUGAAAUCUGAUUCCAAGAGUUGUAAUUUUAAACCCAUUCAAGUUAAUUGAGCCUCUUGAUAUCCUUUCUAUCUAACCUUAUCCAAAAUCCCACAUUACGGUGCAAUGAAAAACCUUCUGACCAGUCUUCGAGAGAUAAAACCAAGUCGAACAAAUAGAAGUGAUUCAUAUCAGGGGCAACACUCCGUCCGGAGCAAGAAAAUGAAAAAUGAGAGAGUCUUAUUGGCGAAAACCAUCAUGGGCACCGUAAGGUGAUGGAAAGCUGAGAGAAAUUUAAAAAAUGAGAGAGUCUUAUUGGUGAAAACCUUGACAGGCACUGUAAAGCGACGGUGAGUUGAGAGAUGAACAAAUGAGAGAGGUUUGUUGGUGAAAACCCUUCAGGGCACCGCAAGCCGAACAAGGUCAGUGAUUUGGGAAAAAAGUUGGGUUAUGGAGAUCUCGCGGCAUAAAGUAUGACAACUGAAAGGUGAUUUGUUGAAUAGGCUGGGCUGAUUAAUUCAAAAUGCAUGUCAUGAUCAUUGGUGCCAUCUGUUCCGCUCAGACAAGUCUAUUUUCUUUUCCCCCUUCAAACAGUCAUCCAGUUUUGAAUUUUCUUCUUUAUUCCUAACUGUCGAAGUCAUUGCAUUUCAUUUCUUUUCUGUUUAUUUCUCUAAGAUUUUUCCAAUUUCAGUUUUGUUUGAGCAAGUGAGAAGGGAUUUCAAAGCUUACUACCAACUUCCAAAAUUGCACAAAGCAAAGUGCGGCCAAAGCAUACCGAAGAUAGCAUGAUGUAAAGUGGGAAAUAAGGUGUAAGUGAAAAGUUCCCUUGGGCGAAUGGUUUAGAAAUCUUGUGGAAAAUAUAGAGGUUCAAGUAAAAAGGUCAUAAAUGUAAAACAAUGGUUUGGGUGUAGAAAACUCUGGUUAUCCAAGGUCGUGCAGGUGAGAGUCAGUCAGAAAGUCAAACAGUUCUUGGCUAGUUCAAGGUGACCAUUCAAAGCAAAGCAUGAUAGUAGAGAGGCCACCUUCAUCAAGAAUUCCACAAACUAACCACCAUAUUUUAAAUUGACAAGAUUUUUCUUUGAUUUGAAACAGGGGCAGAAAAUUCCGUUUGUUUCGGAGAAACCUUCUGUAAAGAAAGCAAGCACCAGACAGGCUCGACCGUAAAUCCUCAGGACCAUCCUGGACAAUGGGACCUAGUUAAAAUGCAAAACAUUCAUGCGUAACAAGAUCUAGAAUAAGUUUUACCUUGAGGAAAUAUAAGUUGGCUUCGAUGUUUCAUUCUUAGGAUAGGAUUCAAUUCGAAAUUUUUAAGACCCUCAUGAAUAAUGGGACUUAGAUUUAAGUCAUACCUUUAGGAAAUAUCAUUUAGCUUAAAAAAACUGUCAGUUAACUAGGAAUUUUUAGGACCUUUCUGGAUAAUGUGAUCUAGCUUUCAAAUUCUUAGAGAUAUUUGGUAACAUGUCUCAAUUAACACUCACAGACGUGCCCAGCUGCCAAACUGGAGCAGAAAAUAUUCUUUGUUUUGUCUAUUCUAAUUGUAAUCAGGCUCCCACCCAGAGAGCAAGGGAGAACAACACAAGUUUCAAGAAUGAAAAACAGUUCAGGACCAAGGAAUCAGGCACCCACCUAGAAAUACAAAGGAAGACAAUUCAAGUGUUGGUAAUCAGGAGCCCACCUGGAGAACAAAGGGGAAGACAAUUCAAGUGUUGGAAAUCAGGAGCCCACCUGGAGAACAAAGGGAAAGCAGUUCAAGUGUUGGAAAUCAGGAGCCCACCUGGAGAACUAAGGGAGAGGAAUUCAAGUAUUGGUAAUCAGGAGCCCACAUGGAGAACAAAGGGAGAAGCAAUUCAAGUGUCAGUAAUCAGGAGCCCACCUGGGGAACAAAGGGAAGCAGCAAUUCAAGUGUCGGUAAUUAGGAACCCACUUGGAGAACAAAGGGAAGAAGUUCAUGUUUCGAGGAAAAACAUUGCAAAUGUUGGUAAUCAGGCACCCUCCUAGAGAACAAAGGGAGAGCGAUUCAAGUGUUAUUAAUCAGGAGCCCACCCGAAAACAAAGGGAAAACAAUUCAAGUUUCAGAAGGAAAGGAAUACUAUUCAAAUAUUGGUAAUCAGGCACCCACCUAGAGAACAACGGGAAAUCAACAAUGUUCAAAGGAAGACACAUCAAGUUCAGUAAUCAGGCGCCCACCUGGAGAACAAAGGAAAAGCACUUCAGAACGCAAUUUAAGUUAGCAACAAAGAAAUUUCACCUGCAGAGUACGAAUCAACAGAUCAACAGAAAUUGCAAGAUAAAGUUUGAAGAUGUAGAUAGGAUAUUUGUAAUUAAUAGAUCAUAGUUUAGUCUAGCUUCUUUUAUAUUGGCUUGGUGUAAUAAGGGGUUCAACAAGUAGUAGCAGAAGCAGCAACAGUGAAAUCACAACUUCCUGGUAGUCCCAACUACAAAAACAUCCCGAACUACACUAACAUGAUUCCUUUAUGGCCAAGGAUAUGUAGGCAACUGAUAACUAGGGAUUUUGAUACAUUUUAUACCCCUUCUUGCUUAUGUUUUGAUUACGAAUUUCUACGAAAUAGUCCCAAAAAGGCUCACAAGUUGUGCUUGAUUGCAGGUUUUAUCAACAAAGUGACAAGAUGUCAAAGAUCGUCUCAAUAAGGAGUGAAACUUCACCAAGUACCAAGACAAGACAAGCUUAGGAAAAACAGGCUCAAUGCGGCCGCACAAGUGAGGUUCAGAGAAGGUGAUUUCCAGGCCAACAUGCAAUGUGGCUGCAUGAGAUUUAAUGUGGUCCGCACUGAAGUCACUGCGUCUGCACUUGAUUUAGUGCGGUCCGCAGAACCAAAGAUCAGAGAGUGCCAGUUUUGGAGAUUGAAGUCAAUGCGGUCCGCGCUCCAUUUCACGCGGACCGCACUAGAAGCCAUUACGACCGCAGUCCAUUCUGUGCGGUCAACAUUGCCCGAGUUUAGAGAGCUGGAUUCUCAGGCUUAGAGCCUUAGUGCGGCCGCACGUGAUUUUGUAUGGUCCGUACUAGCCCCGCAUGGGUAUUUUUGUCCAUAUUUUUCAGCUUAAUAUAAAUAGUUUCUUUUCCCAUUUUUAGGUCAUCAGAUAGUUUUCUCUUCAGAGCUGCACUCGUGACUUCAUAGUUUUAGCUGUUUUGAGUAAUUUUAGCUACAUUUCAACAUUGAAUCUUCUUGUUUCAUUUAGUAAUUAAUUAAUAUGAGUUUUUCUUCAUCUAAUUCUUUGUUUUCUUCUCUAAUUAUGAGUAGCUAGAUCCAUAAGCUAGGGUUGUGGCUCAACUCUAGUGUGGGUAAUUGAUGGGUCUUGUGUUUUCAGGUUAGAUUGACUAUGAGUGUUUGCUAUUUGGACUAAUUUCAUGUUUAAUUGCUGAAUUGGUGGUUGCAAACAGUAGUUUGUGUUUAGUUGGCUUUGGCUCUUCUUGAGAAAGAGAGCCUAAGUCUCUGAAAUUGGUCCAACAAGGAAUUGGGACGUACUCAAGAAAUUGAUAGCCCAAUUAUAGGGUUAAACCUAGAGAUAGUAAUACCUGACUUGAAACUUGAUUGCUUGUGCAAAUAUGCAUACCCAAUUGGUCUUGAGAAAGUCAAUUCGGGCAAAAUCACUCGAACCACUGAGAGGUNNNNNNNNNNNNNNNNNNCGGUUAUAUCAUAUUCCCCAAAUAUGUCAAUAUGUCUUAGAUUCAAGUACCGGUCAAUUGACUACCUAGGUGAAAGUCACUACCCUAGUGCCUUUUUAACUAUUUGAACAACCCACAAUAUUUUAAUCUUAGCUUAUUCUAACUUCUAGCUAGACACCCGACUCCACUUUAGAUAGACACCCGACUCCAACUUCUAGCUUCUUGUGGAAAUCGAUCCCGACCUUAAUAGGGUAAAAGCUGCUUCGACCCUCUCUUGAUACUCAAUAGUAGUGCAGGGUUGGCCUUUAUCACUUUUUGGCACCGUUGCCGGGGAGCUAACGUUUUUGGCUAUCUAUCUAAAUAGUUUUGUGUAUUGUUCUUCUUUCUUUCUUUAUUACUAAUUUUGUUUGUGUCACAACUCAGGUACCAAAUGACAGCGAACAACGCCAAUGGCCCUCUUGGAAAUGUGAUUGCAGGGGAGGAGGUAGAUGAUUUCAGAGAUGAUGAGGUGCCUCUUGUACCUCAAGGACAACGUAGAGGCCGCCCGGCUAAUGCUAAUGUUGAUGACAAUAUCCCAGACCCUCCUCCGCCACCUCCAAGAGUGGCUCCUAGAGUACUUCCGAACCAAGGCUAUGCAAGUGCUAUUGUCCCACCCCGAAUUCGGGCGGGAAAUUUUCAAAUAACCAAUGUGAUGUUGACCUUACUAGAGCAACGUGUGUAUUUUACGGCCGCUGCAAAUCAAAAUGCUUACAAACAUNNNNNNNNNNNNNNNNNNNNNNNNNNNNNNNNNNNNNNNNNNNNNNNNNNNNNNNNNNNNNNNNNNNNNNNNNNNNNNNNNNNNNNNNNNNNNNNNNNNNNNNNNNNNNNNNNNNNNNNNNNNNNNNNNNNNNNNNNNNNNNNNNNNNNNNNNNNNNNNNNNNNNNNNNNNNNNNNNNNNNNNNNNNNNNNNNNNNNNNNNNNNNNNNNNNNNNNNNNNNNNNNNNNNNNNNNNNNNNNNNNNNNNNNNNNNNNNNNNNNNNNNNNNNNNNNNNNNNNNNNNNNNNNNNNNNNNNNNNNNNNNNNNNNNNNNNNUAUGUGAUUUGGGGGCUAUUAUCAAUUUGAUGCCCUAUUCGGUUUUCAAGACUUUGGGUAUUGGGCAGCCAAGGCCGACUUCCAUGAGAUUACAAAUAGUAGAUAGAACGAUGAAUAGACCAUUGGGUAUUAUUGAUGAUGUACUUGUCCGGGUGGACAAAUUUAUCUUGCCAGCUGACUUUGUGAUCUUGGAUUGUGAGGUAGAUUAUGAAGUUCCUAUCAUUUUGGGGAGGCCGUUCCUUGCUAACGGGAAGGCCUUAGUUGAUGUGGAAGCAGGGGAACUCACCUUCCGUGUGGGUGACAAAAAAGUGGUCUUUCAUGUUUACAAAUCGAUGAAGCAGCCCAACUGUACCGAGGUGAGCUCUUUUGUGGACCUCAUCAUAGCAGUGAUAAUUGAUGACACCAGUGCAAUGAUCAAUGUAGAGGACCCUUUCAAGGCCAUAUUAUUGAAUCUUAGUGUCAAUGAUGAUGAGGGCUGAGAAGAGUGCGUGAAUACUUUACAUGGAAUGGGCUCUUACUCUUAUGAGCAUAGGAAAUUAUCUUUGGACCUUGAGAAUAGAAAGACUCCACCAACAAAACCUUCGAUUGUGGAGCCUCAGGUGUUGGAGUUGAAGCCACUGCCUCCACACCUCAGGUAUGAGUUCUUAGGCUCAAAUUUUACUUUGCCAAUUAUUCUUUCCUCUUGUCUUACUAACAUGUAGGUAGAUGCCAUAUUGGCGGUACUUCAAAAGCGAAAAAGGCAAUUGGAUGGACUUUAGCUGAUAUUCGGGGGAUAAGCCCCACAUUCUGUAUGCACAAGAUUAUUUUGGAAGAUGAUGCAAAGCCCUCCUUGGAGCAUCAAAGGAGUUUGAAUGAGGCAAUGCAAGAAGUUGUGAAAAAAGAGGUGAUCAAGUGGUUGGAUGCCGAGGUUGUGUACCCCAUCUCUGAUAGCUCUUGGACUUCACCGGUGCAAUGUGUACCAAAUAAAGGUAGCAUGAUUGUGGUUGCAAAUUUACAAAAUGAGUUGAUUCCUACUAGAACCGUCUCCGGUUGGAGGGUAUGCAUGGACUACCGCAAGUUGAGUAAAGUGACCCGCAAGGAGCACUUUCCUUUGCCUUUUCUUGAUAAGAUGUUAGAUCGACUUGCUGGGCGUGCCUUCUACUAUUUCUUGGAUGGGUAUUCUGGGUACAACCAAAUCUUGAUAGCUUCGGAAGAUCAGGAGAAGACCACAUUCACUUAUCCAUAUGGCACCUUUGCCUUUUCUAGGAUGCCUUUCGGGUUGUGUAAUGCACUGGCUACAUUUCAUUGAUGUAUGAUGGCCAUUUUCACCGAUAUGGUGGAAGAUAUUUUGGAGGUGUUCAUGGACGACUUUAGUGUUAUGGGGGAUUCCUUUGAUGAGUGCUUGAAAAAUCUUGAUAAGGUCUUGGCCCGUUGUGAAGAAACUAAUCUUGUUAUCAAUUGGGAGAAAUGCCACUUUAUGGUGCAAGAGGGCAUAGUUCUUGGGCAUAAAAUUUCAAAGCAUGGUAUCGAGGUAGACAAAGCAAAAAUUGAUGUGAUUUCAAGGCUACCUCUACCUACAUCUGUCAAGGGAGUCCGAAGUUUUCGUGGGCAUGCGGGUUUCUAUCGGAGAUUUAUCAAAGACUUUUUGAAGGUGGUGAAUCCCUUGAGCAAAUUGUUGGAAAAAGAUGCUAAGUUUGUGUUUGAUGAAAAAUGUAUGCAAGCCUUUCAACUUCUCAAGCAUAAGUUGACCACCACUCCUAUCAUUUCUGCACCUAAUUGGAGCUUGCCCUUUGAGCUCAUGUGCGAUGCGAGCGAUGUUGCGGAUGGGGCGGUUUUGGGUCAAAGAGUGAGCAAAAUAUUUCAUCCGGUGUAUUAUGCGAGCAAGACAAUGAAUGAUGCUCAAGUGAACUACACGGUGACCGAGAAAGAACUUUUAGCUAUUGUGUUCGCAAUGGAAAACUUUCGGCCGUAUCUUAUAGGUGCUAAGGUUAUUAUCCAUAACGACCAUGCCACACCCGGUACUUGAUGACGAAGAAGGAUUCCAAAGGUAGACUGAUGCGAUGGGUCUUGUUACUUCAAGAGUUUGAUUUGGAGAUUGUGGAUCGGAAAGGUAGUGACAACCAAGUGGCGGACCACUUGUCCCGCUUGGAGGAGGAGGGGAGGCCUCUUGAUGGCCUAGAGAUCAAUGAUUCAAAUCCCGAUGGACAACUCCUUUCGGUGUCAAUGAAUUAUAUGCCAUGGUUUGCUGAUAUUGCUAAUUUCCUUGUGACUGGUAUAAUCCCGUGUGAGCUCUCUUCUAACGAAAGGAAGAAGCUUAGGCGAGAUAGUUUGGAUUUCUAUUGGGAUAAGCCAUACUUGUUCAAGAUUUGCACGGAUGGUGUGAUCCGAAGGUAUAUCCCGGAGGAAGAGCAAUUGAGUAUCUUGGAGGCUUGUCAUUCCUCUCCCUAUGGUGGUCAUUAUGGCGGGGCGAGGAUGGCUUCCAAAGUUCUUAGUUGUGGGUUUUACUGGCCAAUUUUGUACAAAGAUGCAAGUGAACUUGUGAAGAGGUAUGAUGAAUGUCAAAGAGCGGGUUGAAUUUCGAAGAAAGAUGAGAUGCCUCUCAAUACCAUUCGUGAGGUUGAUAUUUUUGAUGUGUGGGGCAUUGAUUUUAUGGGCCCGUUUGUUAGCUCGUGUGGGAACAUGUAAAUUCUUCUAGUGGUGGACUAUGUUUUUAAGUGGGUUGAAGCCGUGGCUUUACCCAACAAUGAGGCCCGGAGUGUUGUUGCAUUUCUCAAGAAGAGCAUUUUUACAAGGUUUGGUACUCCUCGUGCAAUCAUAAGUGAUGGGAGGUCUCAUUUUUGUAAUAGAGCUUUUGAUUCCUUACUUGCAAAAUAUGGCGUCAAUCACAAAGUCUCUACCCCCUAUCAUCCUCAAGAAAGUGGUCAAGUGGAAGUCUCCAAUAGGUAAAUCAAGAGCAUAUUGUCAAAGACGGUAAAUGCUAAUAGGACCGAUUGGUCAAAGAAGUUGGAUGACACUUUAUGGGCUUAUAGGACUGCUUUUGAGACUCCAAUUGGUAUGUAUCCGUAUCAGUUGGUGUUUGGGAAUGCUUACCAUCUACCGGUCGAGUUAGAGCACAAGUCCAUGUGGGCUUUGAGGAAGCUAAAUCUUGAAUGGGAUGUUGCAACAAAUCUUUGUGGGGAGCAGCUUAAUGAACUUAAUUAAUUCCGAUUCCAUAACUACUCCAGUUCAUCCUUGUACAAGGACAAGAUGAAGUACCUUCAUAAUAAAUAUACUCGUAGCAAGGAGUUCAAAGUGGGUGAUUUGGUUCUCUUGUUCAACUCUCGGUUACGUCUAUUUCCAGGAAAGCUCAAGUCAAAAUUAAGUGGACCUUUUGAAGUGGUGUGUGUGACCCCGUUUGGUGCUCUUGAUUUAAAGAACAAAAAUGGGGAAGUUUUCAUAGUGAAUGGGCAUAGGGUCAAGCACUACUUGGAAAAAAUUGAUGACAGCCACGUUGUGGCACUUAUUCAUCUCAAAUGAUGUGAUGGUACACUGUGUCGUGCUGCGAUAUUAAAUUAGGCGCUUCUUGGGAGGCAACCCAUGUGUUUUUAUUCUGGUUUUUCUUUGGUUUUCAUUGUAGUAUAGGAUUUAUUUUUGGACUAACUAGUUGUGAGAUGCUACAGGAUUGUGUUGAUGCAGUGCAGGACAUAGUGGGAAAAUGGUUCAAGUCUCUGAACUUUGCAAUGCAGACGCACUACAUUUCGUGCAGACCGCACUGAUGAAGGAUGAAAAGUCCAGUUCUCUAAAUUUUGCCACUGCGGCAACAUUACAUUUUGUGCGGUCCGCGGUGGACCACUACGGCCGCAUGACAUUUUGUGCGGACCGCAAUGGGUUACCAUCUCAAAGUUGAAACAAGCAGUGCAGUACGGACUGCAGUCCAUUUUGUGUGGUCCGCAUUGGGUUGACAAUGGUAAAAAAGGAGGCAAAGGCUCUAAACAACCAAGCAGUGGAGAAUCCUCCCCCAGAGGGAAAGAGAAAAUGGUAAGAUUGACUGCUCAAGCCUGGCAAAACAUUAAAAACAUGAGAAAGAUGAUUAAAGCUGCUGAUAGGGCCAUUGACAUGCCUGGAAGUGAGUACGAGCCCUCCUAGGAGAUAUCUUCAGACUCAAUCCCAGAGUACAUCCCUGAAUGGUCGGAGAGAAACAGACUAAGAGACAUUUCUCCCACUUCCCCCGCUGCCCAAGCGUCAGUAAAUGUAUCUUCUUGGUCGUCCGAGGGCUUAGAUGAAGGCAGUGGGGAUGAAUACUCCACCUCUCUCACAACUUCAUUAUCCAGAGAGGGUGUAGUAGGAGAAGAGGUAGUAGGAGAAAGGGGUGAUCCCCAGGUUGGUGGGGUAGAACGAACUAGAAACCUGGAAGUGUGGCAAGACCAGUUUGUAAGCGAGGUUUCUAAUCAAAAAUUUAGGGAAUGGUGGCCGGUGAGGAAGUUGAUCCCGGAGAGGAGCUUUGUUGAUAGAGACUUAUUACCUCACAAUCCCAAUGUGAGGAGGAAGUUUAGGGAGAGCGUUCGCUGGGAGUAUUUCUUGAACAACUGUGAGGAUGCAAAUGAUCACUUGGUCAAGGAAUUCAAUACCAAUGUUGCCCACAUAAAAAAGGGCACAAAAGUGACCAUAGUGUGAAAUCUGAAGGUGAUUUUUGAGGAGAAAACAAUAAAUGAUUACCUUGGCUUUGAUGAGGAGGACGAGGAAUUGUAUAUGACAAAGAUGGAAUUGGGCAAGGAGGUCCGUUCCUGGUUGGUACAGUAUCUGGCAAUCCCAGGUACCACCCUCGAUUGGCUAAAUGCGGGAGUGAAAAUUUUGAGAAGAAGUCUGAAUUUCGAAGCCAAGGGGUGGGAAAUAUUUGUGUGUAGCAGAUUGGACCCCACUACUCAUGACAACUCCCUCCCUCUUCAUCGGCCAAUUUUGGUGGCAUCGAUCAUGGCGGGGCACCCAAUUAAUGUCGGGAAGGUAAUGUCUCGGGUAAUUACGUAGGUAGUCAGUGAGGGUGACAGAAACUACCCCAUCCCUAGCUUCUUGACCAUGUACUUCAGGGACCUCAAAGUUGAAAGGAGGCCAUUUGAUAUAAAGGUAAAAGCGAAGGCCCCGUCCUUAUGGUACAGUAUGCAGGGUGAUGACAACCCAUAGUGGAAGCUCAGUCGGCACCUCCGCCUUCGCAGGUCUCGCACUCUAUCGAGGAUGCCCUCAAGGAGAUUCUGGCCAACCAGAAGAAAUCCUUAACACCCAGAAAGUGAUCAUGGAUGCUGUUGAUUCACACAGCAAGGCUCUCAAGGAGCUUGCUAAGGAGCACAAGAAGUUGAGGAAGACGCGGGCUUCUAAGGAGUCCAUAAAGGCGCUGAGGGUUGAUGUUGACAAGAUGAAGGCAAAUCAUCUGCCUUUGGACUUAUUGCUAAAGGACCCAGUACCAGCAGCUUAUCCCCAGCCUAAGCAGUCCCAAAGGCCUCCCAAGAGGAAGAGGAUGAUUCCCCAAGCAGACGAUGCAGUCAUCCAGUUGGCAGACCCACCGGAGACCUCCUCCAGUCAGCCAUAGGAUACACCUCAGGAGCCUGUCCAGGUCCAGGCCCAGGUCCCAGCAGCAGAGCAGCAUUCCAUAAGGAACCAGUCUGAGGUUCCCGAGCAUAUUGAGGACCCAGGGACCACUCAGGAGCCUAUGCAGAGAGACGAGCCAUAGGGAGUAUCUAUAUCUUUUUCUCCUUUUUUUCUUUUUGGUGCUUAUUUGGUUUAGUUGGCAUUGGGGACAAUGCCAGAUUUCAUUUGAGGGGGUAGGCCUUACUUUUAUGGAUUUGGAUUAUUGUAUAUAUUUGACAGUUUUUAUGUUUUCUUUAUUUUUCAUCUUUGGUUUGUAUAUAAUUUUAACAUUUCGUUACAUUUCUCGUACUUUUAUUUUACUUUGGGUCUUGAUAUAAAGUUAUGUUACAUUGUACAUAUUCAUCCCAUCUAUUGUAUAUUCGAUUAAAUCCCCUCUUGUAUAUAUUCAUUUUACUUUUCGUAAUUUUCUCUCUUAGCUUCUUAUUUAUGUUUGUAGCUGCUUGUUCUGAACGUUUGCAAUAAGCCUUUGGUUUUCUUAAUGCAACGGUUCUUUCCAAAGGUGGAGUUUGUGUGAACCGGAUGGCUCUUACCAAUGAUGGAUGGUGUGACAACCUUCUUAAGGGUUUGAGUUCGUUUUCUUUUUGCUUUUUAGUAGUUAGUGGUAAGCGUACCUCAAGAAAAGUUUCACUUGGGCCUAGCACAUUUGCCUUUGAUCUCAUGGUCAAAAACAAAUUGUUGUGUUUAGGAUGGUGAAAGUCGUGACCUUGAGACUCUUGUGUUGACAGAUAAUCAUCAAGUGGUUUUUCGGUAGCAUUGUGUACUCAAAUCUUAUCUAAGGUUGUUGUGGGCCCCCGACUCUGUGUCUUUAGCAAUCCCAUAGCUUGUGUGGCGAUAAAUUGCAUUGCAAGUCCAAGUCCCGAGCCAUUGGUCUAGAACUUGCCCUGAAUGUUUGUUGAGGCGAUAUCCUAAGUGAAUUUUGACUUGAGACAUGAUUAUAGGCUCUCCUUGGUCCAAAUGAUAGUUUGAACACUUCCAUAUCCUACCAAUGAUAAGAUCCCUAGUCAACCCUUUUGAGUUUUAGACCUUUUUCCUUCAAAGAACCAUGAUACAAGCCUUUACCCGUUCUAAAAGAUACCCUCUCUUAGCACCUAAUCUUUUCUUUAGCACAUGGCAAAAGUAUAAGUUUGGGGGAAGAAACGAGGAUGGCAACAAAGUGGUAAAAAGGUAUAAAAUGAAGAAAAGGAAAAGCAAUGAAAAAGAAAGAAAAGCAAAAAAGACAAAAAGAAUGCUCAAAGUAGAAUUGAAUAAAAAGGGAUACAAGAAAAGCAAAGAAUGAAAGGUGUAGAAAGUUGAGAAAGGAGAAAAGAUUUGAAAUGUAUAAGAAAGAGUGACAAUGUGUCUCUCCAUCCCCUUAGAAAGAAGUGAAAGCACUCAAAAAGUCAAAUGAAUUUGAGCCAAAAUAAAACAAAUGAAGUGCAUAAUGGAAGAUGGAACCUACUUAGACCAAAUAUUACCUACCCCAAACCUAAAGCCUUCACUAUGUAUCCAUAAAAGCCCAAUAUGAUCUUGAGUUUAAUAAAACUUAAAUUACUGGUGACUCACAUAAGGGGCAAUCAUAUGGUACUUAGAGCCAGACUCGUGACUUUUCCUUGAGAGAGACGAGUGAUUUUCCAUUAACCUCAUUCUGAGUGCUACUAUUCUAAAGGUGAGGUUUGCUUAUGGGGAGUUGAGGAUGUGUGAGUUUGGGUUCCACAAUGACCAAAGUAAUAGAAAGAGUUCUUUGAUUUGUUGAGUCAACUCUUGAUGCUCUUGUGUUGCACUUAAUCCAUGGUGUUUCAAAGAGUAAAAUGUUGUUAAUGAUUAAUUUGUAUUGAGGGCAAUUGUUAUUCCCAAUUGAUGCUAGAUGAGGGCACUUUAGGACAGCUAAAUGUUCUUGGAAUUUUUCUUAAAGGGUGGGUUUUAUUUGUUUGCUUGAGGACAAGCAAAAGCUUAACUUUGGGGGAGUUGAUAACUAGGGAUUUAGAUUUAUUUUAUACUCCUUCUUGCUUAUGUUUUGAUUAGGAAUUUGUACAAAAUAGUCUCAAAAAGGCUCACUUUGAUCAACAAAGUGACAAGAUGCCAAAGAUCGACGCAAAAAGGAGUGAAACUUGCACAAGUACCAAGACAAUACAAGCUCAGGCAAAGCAGGUUCAAUGCGGCCGCACACCAUUCUGUGCGGUCCGCACAAGUGAGGUUCAGAGAAGGUGAUUUCCAAGCCAACAGGCAAUGCGGCCACAUGAGAUUUAAUGCAGCCCGCACUGAAGUCACUGCAGCCACACUUGAUUUAGUGCGUUCCACAAAACCAAUGAUUAGAGAGUACCAGAUUUGGAGAUUGAAGUUAAUAUGGUCCGCGCUCCAUUUCAUGUGGACCGCACUAGAAGCCAUCGGGGCCGUAGUCCAUUCUGUGUGGUCCGUAUUGGCCGAGUUUAGAGAGUUGGAUUCUCAGACGAGAGACUUAGUGCGGCCGCACUAGUCCCGUAGGGGAUUUUUUGUCCAGAUUUUUCAACUUAGUGUAAAUAGCUUCUUCUCCCAUUUUUAGAUCAUCAAAUAGUUUUCUCUUCAAAGCUGCGCUCGUGACUUCAUAGUUUUAGCUGUUUUGAGUAAUUUAGCUACAUUUCAACAUUGAAUCUUCUUGUUUCAUUUAGUAAUUAAUUAAUAUGAGUUUUUCUUCAUCUAUUUCUUUGUUUUCUUCUCUAAUUAUGAGUAGCUAGACCCAUAAACUAGGGUUUUGGCUCAACCCUAGUGUGGGUAAUUGAUGGGUCUUGUGUUUUCAGUCUAGAUUGACUAUGAGUGUUUGAUAUUUGGGCUAAUUUCAUGUUUAAUUGUUGAAUUGGUGGUUGCAAACACUAGUUUGUGUUUAGUUAGCUUUGGCUCUUCUUGAGAAAGAGAGCCUAAGUCUCUGAAAUUGGUCUAACAAGGAAUUGGGGUGUACUCAAGAGAUUGAUCGUCCCAACUAAAGGGUUAAACCUAGAGAUAGUAAUACCCGACUUGAACCUUGAUUGCUUGUGCAAAUUUGCAUACCCAAUUGGUCUUGAGAAAGUCAAUUCGGGCAAAAUCAAUCGAACCACCGAGAGGUAUAGAGUGGGUAAAAUCAUGCAACGGUUAUAUCAUAUUCCCAAAAUAUGUCAAUCAUGUCUUAGAUUCAAGUAACCAUCAAUUGACCACCUAGGUGAAAGUCACUACCCUAGUGCCUUUUUAACCAUUUGAACAACCCGCAAUAUUUUACUCUUAGCUUAUUCUAGUUUAAUUUAGCAUUGUAGUUUGAUAAAAUUAGAAGGAAAUCAAAAACCCAAAAAUGUUAAGAAGUGCAAUUUGGAACACAUACACAACUCUACUUUAGAUAAACACCCAACUCCAACUUCUAGCUCCCCGUUUAAAUCGAUCUCGACCUUAAUCGGAUAAAAGCUGCUUCGACCUCUCUCUCUACUCAAUAGUAGUACAGGGUUGGCCUCGAUUAGCAAUAUCAGAAGCAGGGUGCUGUCAAAUCUUUCAAAAAUGCUUUCCACAGGAGUAUUCAAACGGGCAAAAAUCGCUCGUAUCCGCUCACUUUAUCUUUGCACGAAAAUUCUUCGUGUUUUCGAGCAAAGAGGGGAAGCUGUGAGCACGUGAUUUUUACCCUAUAUGAAUUACUCCUACAGAAUCCUAAAGAAAUAGAUUUUUCUUUUUAAUUAUUUGCCCUUUUAGGAAUUUUUGUAGAAUUUUCUAAAUUAUUUGCAUUUUUCUGUGCAUGUUUAAUUUUAUUUAUAUCAUGAAAAUAAAAAAAAAUAUUCUGUAUUUGCAUCUAGGAUGUAUUUUUACAUUUUUGGUUAAUUAGUAAAUUAGUUGUUUUAUAAAAAUGAAAAAUCACAAAAAAUGACUCACUUUGCAUUUUAACUUUUUAAUUUUAAAUUUUAUAGUUCUUCUUUUAAUUUAGGAGUUAAUUAAUUUUUGUAAAUAAUAUGAUGAGUAAUUAGCUUAAUUUUGUAAGUUAAUUUAGUUUAAGAGUUAAUUAAUGUUUUAAUUUUAAUUGAAAAUAAAAGAAAAUUUGUAAAUUGAAACGAAAAAGGAAAGAAAAUGAAGAAGGCUGUUGAGUUUUGGGCCAAAUUGGCAUAGCCCAGGUAAAUUUUCCCCAACCCGUUCAAAAUCCAGCCCAAACUUCACCCCAUACCCGGUCCAAAUCCCAGCCUAACCAAACGACCCUGUUUUUGACCCCUCUUAUCCGAGCCGUUGAUUUCAUUUAAUCUAAGGACUAGAACUCCUCACCAUACCCUAAUAUAUAUGUCUGAACAACCCCUUACCCCCACCCCCCGUUUCCAAACGGUUCCAUUCUCACCUUUUCAGAUUUAGAACCAAGCCCUAGCGCCACCCUAACACCCCUCACCCUCUUCGGUGGAGGCGCCAUCCCAAACCGCCUACAAAAUUACACCCCAUAACCCCUAGCCUCUCCUCUUCCCAAAACCCGGAACUAUUUCCCUCGAAUCCCUCUACAUCUACUCGAAUUGUGAAUCUAAUGUCAAACCCUAAUUUGCUUCCUUUUCAGAAUUUAAAGUGUUUUUUUAGGGUUUGCUUUGAGUUGAAGUUUAUGUUGAUCAAUUGUUCUUGAUAAGAACAAUUGAUUAGUAUUGAGUUUAGCUCAUUUCAAGCCCCAUCGAAAACCUAAAUAUGGCCGAGAUGUCUUGCAUUGUUGGUUCAUGCAUGAACGGUAGAUUUCACCAUUGAUUCCUCAUUUCUCUGGUGAGUCGAUUGUUUUCCCAUUUUGAUUAAUCCAUUAAUUUAGGUGUGUUCAUCUGAGAGUCCUUCUUGUUAAUCUUCUUAUUAGGCUAAUUAGGUUUUGGUUCGAUUUGUUAGUCUAGUUUUAUUCUAGUUUAUUUAGUUUAGUCUAAUAAGUUGUUUGUUCAGUCAUGUUUUGAUUUUGAAAUGAUGUAAUAUUGGAUUUGCUUCCUUUUCUUAUUUUCAUAAACCACUGAAGUUGAUUUUAUUUGGGUCAUUUCGUUUGAAUGGGCUUGGGGGUCAUCUUUGACCCGGUUUCAAGGGAAGCCCGGUCAUUUUGGGUUGGUUUUGGGUACUGGUUAAUUGGACCCAUGAGCUGUUGUUACCUGAAGGUAAAUAACAGAAUUUUAAAGGGUACUUAGGGCAUUUUCAUUAGAGUAAUCUUUCACAACUGCCUGGGAAACUUCCAGGAAGUUAGGGAAAGGGGCUGGUUUGGCAAACAGGUUUAAAACUUGGGGUCUGAAAUAAAAAAGUGAUAAAUCAAAGAAGGGGUAAUUGGUAAAACCUGAAACCCAUUCUGCUGCCCUAGAGGUCUUCUAUAAAAGGCAUGUUUUCUUUCUUUUCAAGGGGAAAUGGAGAGAAUACAAUAUAAAAACUUAGAAACAGCUGAAAACUUGUUCUAAAAAUAUAGAAGUUUCUGCACCAUUUUGAGGUCAAAUUGCUGGAAUUGGGUUUUAAUCUGACUUUUAGCAGUAAUCAAAGAGUUUUCACAGCUUUUUCUUGAUCUAUUUGGUAUUCAAAAUGGUUUGAAGAAACUGGUUUUCCUGAGUUGUUGAGCUGAUUCUGCUACUGCUGCUAAUUCCUCAUUCUCCUUGUUUUUCUUUAACUUCCAGGUAUCUUUUGGACGAUGGAUAACACAUGAAGUGUAACAUGGAAUUUGAAUGUAGAAAUAUGAUGAACACAACCUAUUUCUUGUUGAAUUUUACUUUCUGUAUUCUUCACUAUUCACAACCUGUAAUAUUUUAAUUUUAGAUGCAUUGUUGUUAGUCUUUUUCAUGUUAUGGAUGUGAUGCCAUAUUGUUAAUUGAAAUUUUAGUUCCUCAAUGUCUCUUAUUAGUUGUUAGUUUGGUUUUUACAUGUCAUGGAUAGGGAAAAUGUUCUAGGCUACUACACUAAGGGUCGAUCCAUAUGCUAAAUUUCUCUUGGUUUGCGUUUAAGCAUGUUUAAAGUUGGUUUGAUGUUUAAAUUCAGGUUUGUUUACAUGACAAUCUCAUGAGGUUUGUUUGCUAUUGUAUGUGUCAAAGAAGGGUUUAAUUGAGAUUUAAAUCUCACACAAUUGUCUAUAAGUUAGAUGGGGAUUGAAUUAAAUGUGAUUGGUGUACAACUAUGUAUUGAUGGAAGCCAAUCAGGGUCAUGUUGAUAACCUUGAGUUUCAAAGGCCGUUUAUAUAUUGUAUCGACUCGAUCUCGAGUCCUUCAUUCCCCAGCCUCUAUUUUUUGAAGAGAUUUGGUUUGUUCUUUGGGCUUAAACUCAGGACCGCUCGUAAAUGGGGAUUUGUAUGUUUUAUGGUGCUUGGGCCUUAUUUUCGAGCCCAGUAUCUCAUUUAACUGCUACUGUCGGGUUUUGCCUACAACAGGCCUGGCCCAAACGCAUGAAAGCCUAGCGUAACUUCAGUAGUUAUAUAAAAAUAGCUUUAAAUCUUAAGUUAAAGUAUUUCUUUUAGUUAAAUUGAGAUGUGCCAUUUUCACUAUAUCACCCAUGGCCCUCAUAUGAAUUUUUAAUUUAGUUUUAAAUAACCUUUAAUACUGGUAGAUUGCUUUAAGCGCGUAAUGAUUAAUUCUAGAUUGCCUCCAAAAACACCUAUUCCCUUUUAGACUUGAGUUAUGCCAUAAGAAAAGUUAGAUAACCCAUGGCCCUCAGACAAUUAAUACUAACUCUUCAUAAAAUCGGGGUGUGCCAUCAAUUAAACUUUCCAUGGCCCUCGCAAACUAAGUUAUUAAUUUGAAUUUUCGUAGUUUGCUUUAGGCACGUUCUAUAAAUUGGUUCUCUUUUAUUUAUUAAUUUUGGGUGCACAUUUCAUGUGACCCGAAUUCAAUUCUUAACAAUGUUAAAUAUAACGUGUCGCGAACCGCAGGUGCAUUUCAUGGGGCGUGGUUCAAGACGUGUUUUAAAUAACGUUGAAUCUUCUAAAAAUUAUUAAAAGCGGUUAGAGAGUUAAAAAUGCACAAUAGGUUUAAAACGUGUAAAAAAUCAAAUAAUUAGGCCAAUAAUAAUAGUUGAGCGACCGUGCUAGAACCACGGAACCCGAAAAUUCCUAACACCUUCUCCCGGGUUAACAGAAUUCCUUACCCGAAUUUCUGUGUUUGCGAACUAUGAAAUAGGGUCAAUCUUUCCUCGAUUCGGGAUUUGAACUGGUGACUUGGGACACCAUAAAUUAUCCCAAGUGGCGACUCUGAAUUUUUUAAAUAAGUAAUCCCGUUUUGAUUGUCACUUAAAUUGGAAAAAACUCCCUUAUACCCUUAUGGGGGUAGUAAAAAGGAAGUGUGACAAUCCUUUAGGCCAAAAAACCUAGGACCCCCCAUCUUAUUCCUAUUUAUCUGUGAGUCAAGUGUUUGUAUUUAUUUAAAGUCUGUUGAUAAUAAAACUUCCCAAACUUCUUGCUUUCUUUGUCUUUGUUUAUCUGACUAAUUCAUGUAACUCAAGUUCGGCCAGGAUCCACAGUUGUGGACGUCGAAGAGUGCCUAAUACCUUCUCUUCGAGGUAAUUUCGAGCCCUUACCUGAUCUUUGGUGAUGCAAACUAGUCAGCUUGAGUCACUUGCACAUAGGUGCCCUAACGCACCUUAAAAAUCGUUAUGUGGCGAUUCUCCUCUUUAAAUACCUCCUUAAAAGAGUUGUCACACGUCGAAACCUGAUUUCGUGAGAAAAAGGGGCGUGACACCCUCAUGAUUUGGGUUAAAUCAAUAUCCAAAAUUGCCCUCGUCCGCUCCUCAAGCCUCAAAAUUUGUGAAAAUGAGCUCAAAAUCAAGAAAUUAGGCAUUGCAUACCAAUGCCAGGGCUCCAUCUUCGUGAUCAUGUUCACCAACCUUACGAUCGUGGUUCAAAAAAUGCCCAACAAAAGUUUACCCUUCGCGAUCGCGGCCAAGAACCUCCGCGAUCGCAAUGAACAAAUUCGAACAAACAUGCUCAACUCUUUCAUGAAUAAUUCUUGUGUAAUGGAGAUAACUUAGUAUAGAAAACUCCAACUGACAAAUGUUUUAAUUUUGUGAUAACUAGAGACAAUGGGCUACAAGUCUUGUUUUUGGAUCAUCUCCAAAUUCCUUAUGGAUUGAAAGAUAUUAGCUCCGGAAAUCAGCUUAGUGACAUAAAAACUUUCUUCUACGUUAUCACGAAGAUGACAACUAUGAUCUCGAUUUACAAGACCCAAACAACAAUUUACUCUUCACGAAUGCGGCUCAAAGGUCCACGUUCAUGAUUCAUACACCUGUAACAAAAAACCAGCAACUGAAAAGGGUCUAGAAAUGGAUCGAAACCACCCCGAAACUUAUCCGACCCCUCGGGACCCCGUCCAAUCAUACCAACAAGUCCAAGUACAUCGUCCAAACCUAUACAAAGGCUAGAAACACCACAGAUAACAUUAACACCAAGAAUCAAAGAUCACGAUCUUUAUCUUAACUUUUAAAACUUCAAUCUUCGCCAAGCGAGUCCGAAUCAUACUUAAACAUUUUGAAUCACAACCAAACUCUGCAUACAAGUCAGAAAUGACAAAAAUGAACCUAUUCCAACUUCCGGAAUAACAAUUUGAGCCUGAUAACAUUGAAGUCAACCUUCGGUCAAACUUAUGAACUUUCCAAAUUUUCAAAUUCCCAAGUUUCGAUGAAUAAGCCAAAAUCUUCUAGGAACAUCUAAAUUCUAAUUCGAACGUACGCCCAAGUACAAAUUCACAAUAUGAACCUAUUGAAACUAACAAAUCUCAAUUCUGAGGUUGUUUACUCAAAAGUCAAACCUUAGUCAUCUCUUCCAACUUAAGACUUCCACAUUGAGAAUCACUCUAUUAAUUCAAUUCCGAAACACUCAAAAAUAAAAACCAACCUUGCAUGCAAUUCAUAAUACACCAUAUGAAGCUACUCAUGACCUCAAACGACCAAACUGAAUACUAAUGUUGAAAAUGACCGGUCGGGUCAUUGCAUCCCCCCUAUUUAAACAUACUUUCGUCCUCUAACAUGCAAUCUAAGCAUUACCUCAAUCCAGCAUGUCAACAUAAUCUAACUGAAGAAUCUUUCUUCAACCAUAGUCCAUAAACCUUAGAACCCAAUAUCCAACAUCUGGAGUUCAUUAUAAGAUCCUAUUCUCGCAUCUAUACAUUGUAUCAAUUCAAACAAAGUGCAUCAAUCCAUAAUCAUAUUCCAAGAUAUAAUCCAUAACCCAUUACUAAACCCGGUAUUGGUAAUAAGCCUCAUUUCAAAUAAAACAUUGUUCCAAACCUUUGUACACUGUUAAAGAUGAAGAAACAUAUCAAAAGUCAUAACCACUCAUCAGAUCAACAAGAGGAGGAGCUCUCUCGCUCGACAAGAACUAUUACCAAAUUCUAAGUUAACUAAUGACAUUCCUCAAGAGUUAGUUAAUUAAUAAGGCAAUACGGAAACAAUAACUUCAACUAAGCAUGUAAGGGCAAUUAAUAAGUAAAAUAUGGGACAAGCAUUUAACAAUGUCAUAUAAGGCAUGUAAGGUUAAAUUAAUGAUGAAAGAUAUAACAUGUUAUGACAAAGCAAUUAAAGACAUGAAAGGAAGCUAAAUAGCCUAAAUCGGUCAAUUACCACAUAUAGGCUGUGUACCAACUCGUCACCUUGCAUACACGGCUUUUACAUGCCACAAUUAACACAAAAAACUCCAAUCCUAAGGGAUAAUUUCCCUACACAAAGUUAGGCAAGUACUUACCUCAAACAAGCUAACUCAAUCCACUAGUAAGCCUUUUCCACGAAUAUCAAACUCUGAACGACUCGAAUCUAGACAAAAUAACUUCAUACUACAAAUACAAACC
rnacentral:lncRNA from 1 species